UGAUGCUGUUGGGGAAAUGAGGAUCAGGUGAAGAAGACUGCUGCUGUCAUCCGUGGAAGAAGAAGAAAAGAAACGACUAAGUGCUGUUUGGUUUCCACUUUUAAGAAGUUACAUGCCUUCAUCAUUGUUCUCGUCCAAGUACAUGGGAACGCACUCUUUCUGUUCGAAGAAAUGCCCGAGAGAGAUGUUCCAUUCUGGAAUGCAAUUAUGAACACAGACGGCCUCUUUAUGGAGGCAAUUAUACAUCUUGAACUAAUGGUAUGGCCGAAUUCAGUUACAUUUGUUUGUACUUUGUACUUCAUCUUGGUAAAUUCAUUCACAAGAACCCAAGCAAGAUAUAUGUCACUAAACCCACUUCAUUCAUCACGAGUGCACUGCCAGAAUUGAGAUGAUGUAGAACCAGAUGGAAUCAUAUUCGUUGGUUUGUUGAAUUUGUGCAUGCAUGGAGAACUGGUUGAACAAAUGUUGAUUGAAGAUUAUGGAAUCAACCAAUAGAUAGAGCACUACAGUUCUAAGAAAAUGUGGAUGUUGUAAAGAAGAUGCAUGAGUAUGUGGACUGAUGAGGUUGUGUGGCGUCUCUGCUCAAUGCGUGGCGAUUAAACUGGUUGAAUAUCCAUAAUUCUAAAGAUGAUACUGUUGUUACAGUAGCUAAAAUUAUAGCUAGUAAUUUAUGUAUGGGCAGUUAUGUGUGAGGCUUAGUAAUGUUGCAGAGUUAUGUGAGUUAGUAAUCUGCAAUACUGAGUAUACAUUAUACGACUCCUCAAUGUCGAAAUCGCGGUUCAGAAUCACAGGUCUUCAGGCUUCAAAGUUCUCCCUGUGACAUUUUGGAGGUUUAUGUGGAAGUUCAUCUUCAACUUCACAUUCAUCCCGAUUCAUCUCUCUCCUGGUAAUUAUUUGUUGAACUUACAAACUCUUAUUUCUUACAUGGUUAUUUGUUGCUGAAAUUUCUAAAUCGUACUGAAAUUAUUGAAAGUGGCUGAAAUGAUUAAUUA